rnacentral:rRNA from 1 species
UACGGAGGGUGCAAGCGUUAUCCGGAUUCACUGGGUUUAAAGGGUGCGUAGGUGGCUUGGUAAGUCAGUGGUGAAAGCCCGGAGCUCAACUCCAGAACUGCCAUUGAAACUGUUAGACUUGAGUACGAGAGAGGUGAGUGGAAUUCCCAGUGUAGAGGUGAAAUUCGUAGAUAUUGGGAAGAACACCAGUGGCGAAGGCGGCUCACUGGCUCGUAACUGACGCUCAGGCGCGACAGCGUGGGGAUCAAACAGG